rnacentral:rRNA from 1 species
ACGCGAAGAACCUUACCAGGGUUUGACAUGAUACGAAUUUCUUUGAAAAAAGAAAGUGCUGUUUAGAGCGUAUAUACAGGUGGUGCAUGGCUGUCGUCAGCUCGUGUCGUGAGAUGUUGGGUUAAGUCCCGCAACGAGCGCAACCCUUGUUUUUAGUUGCCUUGCUUUAAAGGAACUCUAAAAAGACUGCUGGUUAUAAACCGGAGGAAGGUGGGGAUGACGUCAAGUCAGCAUGCCCCUUACACCCUGGGCUACACACGUGCUACAUUGGACGAGACAAUGAGAUGCAAACCUGCAAAGGCUAGCGAAUCUACAAACUCGUUCUAAGUUCGGAUUGUAGGCUGCAACUCGCCUACAUGAAGGUGGAAUCGCUAGUAAUCGCUGGUCAGCUAUACAGCGGUGAAUUCGUUCCCGGGCCUUGUACACACCGCCCGUCACACCAUGGAAGCUGGUUAUGCCCGAAGUCAUUACUCUAACCAUUNG